CAAUGUCUAGCUUAAACAUUUCAGAUUGGACAAAUUAUAAAAGAAGAAGAAGAAUUUGCCAUAAUACUACCUUGAUUGACAUUUAUCACAUUGAUCCCAGAAAGCCUUUUGAAUGAUUCUCAUGUUAAUAAUCCAUAACAUAAAUUGAACAAAUAGUGUUGGCUGGAAAAUAUGAAUGACAGAUCACACUAAAUUGAAAGAAUUAAUUAAACAACCUUAAUUGAAGGCUAAUUAACACCCCAAAUGCAUGCAAAUCUAGCUAGCUAGAAUUUACAUGCAAAAUAUUUUGGCAGAUCUGAGAUAGAUUCCUUUACAUUCUCUCAAUCUACGCAUAUACAAGUGCAAAAUACUUGUUCUUGAACCAACGUACCCCAUUCUUUAAAGCGGAUUUAAAUUUGGCUUCAACGACAUAGGACUUGUAUUUGGCUACUCGACGUUGUCUCUUAAGCUCUGAUUGGCUGAAACUGUAGAUUGACGAAGAUUUAUGUGAUGAAUUUUUCUUACUCUCCCACGCAUAACCCUCAUUGUCAAAGCUCCGGUCACCACUAGGCCCAUAGGGUGACACAUAAGUUGACCGCAUCUCGUCCAUCUCUCUCAUCUUUCUCGCCGGCCGAUCAAGGUUGACGAACAAAGAGAGAGAGCGUGAGAAAGAGAUAGACGGAAACUAUUAUGGGAGAGCAAGAGACUUUAUA
rnacentral:lncRNA from 1 species